UACGGAGGGUGCGAGCGUUGUCCGGAAUCACUGGGCGUAAAGGGCGCGUAGGUGGCUUCUCAAGCCGCGCGGUGAAAGCCCGGGGCUCAACCCCGGGUCGGCCGUGCGGACUGGGAGCUCGAGCACUGUAGGGGCGGGUGGAAUUCCCGGUGUAGCAGUGAAAUGCGUAGAGUAUCGGGAGGAAUACCGAUGGCGAAGGCAGGUCUCUGGGCUGACACUGACGCUCAUGCACGAAAGCGUGGGGAGCAAACAGG
rnacentral:rRNA from 1 species